UGGAGCUACUGCAGGUUUCGGAGGAGGGAUGUGGCAUGUGUUUUCAUAGUUUGAUCACAGAAUGCAGCAGUUCAAUUGGAUUCUGGAACAUAGGCCAGUUGGAUCUAUAGAAGAUAGAUGGUUGUGGUGGAGAUUGCCAGGUGUCUCACGCCAGCCAAAGAAACAUUUGCUAUCUGCCAUUUCUACAAAUUGGCUACUAAAAAAGGAAGCAGCAUUUGGAUAAGCUGGUACUUUCAGCACAGUAACUCUUGAAACACAGAACUUCUUGGGUGUACAUUUGGAGGAAAGUUGAUCUGGAGCCUAUGGAGUGUCAUUGGAGCUGGGUGUAGAUGUUUUUGAUGUCAUUGAGCAUCAGGCAUUGUCUAGAGUCUCCAAAUUUUAUGUCAUGUUCUCUGUGGAAAUUGCAGCAAACAGGCACACGAUGUUUUGAAUAGAAUCAGCCUCCUUGUGAAUUGCACUUCUUAAGGGUCAGCAUCUGAGAAAUUGCAGAGCAUGUCAAAUGGAUUUUUCGGGAUUGCUGCAAUGUCCUGAAUUUGGUUCAGUGAGGGGCCACAAAAUGUCCUGGUAGAAGAGAGAGUAUAGCUGGAAGUGGCAGCAAAAUUGACCACAUCCUGGAAUAACUGUGCUUCCAGGAGAGUUCUGAUGCAGAUUGGAUGAAAGUGUCAUGCAGAUUUUAGAUUCUCACUACCAAUCAGUUAACAACAAUGGCCUUCAAAAGUUAUCAGGAGAGAACUGAGACAAUAAGGAUUCAAAGCUGCUAGUAGCCACUGGGAGGUCACAUCAAUCUCCUUAGAAAACAGUAAAAAUGGGAUUCAUUUGUCUCAUUUAUUCAUUCUUUUAACAAAUCUUUAUUUAGUCUAUAGCUACGAUGGCCUUGAGGACAAAAAUAAGAGCAGUUAAAACACUUUGGCUAGUUGGGGAAAGAGGAUAAGGCAGGAAAAAAGGAUGGAGUCAGAAGUGAUCUGGAGCCUGCUUAGGCUAAUGACAGUGUAUCUUUGAAUCAUCCCUUACAUCUUGCCAGCCAUUAAAUCCCGUAUUUAUUCCUUGAGAAGUUCUUGCAAGUACAUUAAUUUCUCCUUGUUUUGCCCACUACCACAUUAGUCCACAUCCAUCUAUACUUUACGCCU
rnacentral:lncRNA from 1 species